CAAAGAGUGAGCUGCUUUUGGAUCUCUGACUAAAGACAGCAUGAUGCUCAGGUUUGUUUGUGUCUGCCUUUUCUUAAGUGAAGUAAGCGGUCAACAAGGGUCUGAUGAUCCCUUUAGUGUUGGAUUUUAUAACUUCGAUGAUAGCCCUUCUGGUAGUGGCUCUGUACCCACUGUAAUUGACCUGGGCGAA